rnacentral:misc_RNA from 1 species
AAUUCUCAACCAUGAGUCUUGACUCGUGGCUUGGAGUUGGGGGUUUGCUGGCGGCGAAAAGCUGUCAGCUCUCCUGAAAUGCAUUAGCAAAGGGGUGGCAAGUCUAAGUCUGACGUGCACGGCCUUCGACGUGAUAAUGAUCGUCGUGGCUGGAGCGUCGAGACGUGCAGGAAUCGUCCUUGCUUCCAAUCCUACAUAUAUCCUAUGACUACUAGUCGUUGGGUCUAUUUCGAA